UCAGCAGCCGCGGUAAUACGGAGGGUGCAAGCGUUGUCCGGAUUUAUUGGGUUUAAAGGGUGCGUAGGCGGAUCUUUAAGUCAGUGGUGAAAGCCUGCAGCUUAACUGUAGAAUUGCCAUUGAUACUGGAGGUCUUGAGUGUACUAGAGGUAGGCGGAAUUUAUGGUGUAGCGGUGAAAUGCAUAGAUACCAUAAAGAACACCGAUAGCGUAGGCAGCUUACUGGAGUACAACUGACGCUGAGGCACGAAAGCAUGGGGAGCGAACAGGAUUAGAUACCCUGGUAGUCCAUGCCGUAAACGAUGAUUACUCGAUGUUGGCGAUAUACAGUCAGCGUCCAAGCGAAAGCGUUAAGUAAUCCACCUGGGGAGUACGCUCGCAAGAGUGAAACUCAAAGGAAUUGACGGA
rnacentral:rRNA from 1 species